GACGAACGCUGGCGGCGUGCUUAACACAUGCAAGUCGAACGAAGAGCGAUGGAAGCUUGCUUCUAUCAAUCUUAGUGGCGAACGGGUGAGUAACGCGUAAUCAACCUGCCCUUCAGAGGGGGACAACAGUUGGAAACGACUGCUAAUACCGCAUACGAUCCAAUCUCGGCAUCGGGACUGGAUGAAAGGUGGCCUCUAUUUAUAAGCUAUCACUGAAGGAGGGGAUUGCGUCUGAUUAGCUAGUUGGAGGGGUAACGGCCCACCAAGGCGAUGAUCAGUAGCCGGUCUGAGAGGAUGAACGGCCACAUUGGGACUGAGACACGGCCCAGACUCCUACGGGAGGCAGCAGUGGGGAAUCUUCCGCAAUGGACGAAAGUCUGACGGAGCAACGCCGCGUGAGUGAUGACGGCCUUCGGGUUGUAAAGCUCUGUUAAUCGGGACGAAUGGUUCCUGUGCGAAUAGUGCGAGGAUUUGACGGUACCGGAAUAGAAAGCCACGGCUAACUACGU
rnacentral:rRNA from 1 species